CUUCUGUGGAGAAAAAGGGCAGAUAUGUUCUACAAAUGUCCACAGUUCCCCGUGGAGAAGGUACCUCUGGGCAUGAACAUGUGCUGGAGUGGCAUGAUGCUGGGGUCUGCCCCUCGCAGCUCAAUCUCAAAGACUCCAAGCAGAGCCGCCUACUUUAUAUUUUUCUUCCCUUCUGAAGACAUUGGCUGGCACUUGGCCUUGGUCUAGGGUGUACGCCUUCUUCAACCUGUUGACUGCAGAGUCCUCACAUUGCUUUGGGCUUGGUCCAAGUCUGUGCUUGAGUGGAGGACGGGGCUUUGAGAGGGUCCACACGCCCCUCCUUCCCAGCCACGCACCUUCUUUUCCUUGCCAAGCUCUCCCUUCUCCUACUGUGCCAACGAAGCAGCUGCUUCAACCUCUUCUGUAACCUGGGCUCUCCCAUCUGUCUGCAGUUUUUCCCGUGCUCAUAGCUGGUUAGAAACCUGCGGGGGGGUGUUUUUCAGACGAACUUGAGUAACUUGCCCUCGUAGAUUAGUUAAGAGCCUGUAGGUGUCGAAGGGAUUUGUGGAAAAGACCCAGCAGAGUCUGCGAGAACCCGAAGCGGCUGUGGCUGGAGCAAGGUGAGCCACAGGUUAGGGGCGUCUGGGCCUCAUCCUGUGUGAGGGUGGAUGCGCUACUGCUGUCCUCUGCCUCGGGCCCUCAUCUGUGAAAUGGGGGAACAGUGAGGACUGCCCUCCCGAGGUCGUCAUGAGGCUUAAUGUGUGAACGCACCGACCACUCAGAGCAGCCGUCACCGCAGGGAGCAGUGUGUGUGUGUGUGUGCACGCGUGUGUGUGUGUGUGUGUGUGUGUGUGUGUGUGUCAUUGUAGCCGCUGGGCUUCGCUUUUCUCCACCAGCUCCUUCUUCACGGGGGAGCAAGGAGAGGCAUGGGAGGGAGAAGACUAGAAAAAGGAGGCAGAGGGAGGUCCCUGGGGAAGGGUUUCUGCCACUCAUGCAUAGGUGGCCUGGGGUCCAAACUUGGGGUUUUACACCAGGGCGUGUGAGCAAGGGGCUGCGGCCAGGGGCAGAGCAUUUGCAGACCGCGCGCAGGUCUGGACAGAGCAGGAAGACGCCAAGGUUCUGCCUCCUCCCAGCUGUCAAGGCCCGAGGCAACAGGUCACCCCUUCUGAGUCCCUGAGAAAUUGGGAGGUGCUAGUCCAAGGGCACAAAGUUUCAGUUAUGCCAGAUGAACAAGUUCUGGAGUUCUGCUGUAUACCUCAAAUAUGGUGCCUGUAGUUAACAAUACUGUAUUGUGUGCUUAAAAUUUACUGAGGAUGGCUCCUAUCUUAAGUGUUCUUACCAUACACACAAAGAAUGAUGAUAAUAGGAAUAAUAAUAAAUAAAGGAAUGAAUAGGUCGGGAAGACACCUUUGGAAUGACACAUAUGUUUACGGUGUAGAUUGUGGUGAUGGUUUCAUGGGUGUAAUCUGUCUCCAUACUCACAAAGUUGCAUGUAUUAAUCAUGUACAGCUUUCUGUAUGUCAAUGAUACCUUCAUAAAGUGGUUUAAAACAAUAAAAUGGGGGGGAAUAUAGUCACUCCAAGUACUGAGCACGUUGCCUGUCACAGUAAAUAAGCAAAUAAAUGUAAUUAUGGUUUAAGCUUAGCUCAGGACUGAGAGUGGGUACUUGGCAGGUGGUGUCUGUGGCCAGCUCCUCCGCCCUGGCUCAGCACUGCUUCUGUGAAGCACAAGGGCUGCCCAAACGCAGAGACCAGCUCCAGGUGCAGCUCCUGACAGAGAAGGUGGGCUGGUCGCAGACACCUUGUUUUGGUUACUUGCUAUUCCUUCCCCCACACACCCUUUCAUUGUCCUGGUCCUUAACCUUUAACUCCUGUAAGAAGCUGGGUUUGCAGAUUUCUGAAGACAUUUUGCAGUGUGCAGACCUGUUUCACCUUUGUUCCCCAUCCUUGGGUCUGGAGAUAAAGGCAGGAAUACAGUACUCUAUGAAAGGAACAAUCAUAAACCUCAGGUGCCUCAGACUUCAAAGAAAUGGCAAACUAGGCAUCUCAUUUUAUACAUGGUCCUCUUUAAGUACACUUGUAUGUACAUAAAAUGAAAUUGUACUGAAGUAAAUCUUAUUGCUGAACGUUUGCUUUCCGGAAGAUACUUUGGUGUAAUAGUUCCUAAGAAAAUUUGUUUUUUUAAAGGACCAAAAGUGGGGUGAAUGUUUCAUGGGUAAAGACCUUUUUCGUAACGAGUGAAGGUGAAAUGAGCAGACUGUGCGACUCAGAUUCCAGCUGCGUCCCCAUCACUCCCCUCGGGAGUGUGCCGGAAGGACCCCAGAGAGCUGGCCCACUGGGGGACUCUCUUUUCUGGUUGUUGGCUGAGUAUGUAAUGUCCACUCUGGGUCAUCUAAGGGCCGAGACCAAGUACUCUGUUCCUGCUGUGACCCGUGCUUCUGCUACCACGUGCUGCACAAGAGCUGGAAAGUAGGAACUGCAGCCCGGCAAGCCACGGACCCAGGCAAUCCUAAAACUGCAAAGUCACCUGUGUUGAUUCCAGCCAGCUUUUAGUAAGUAAAUCCGUGACUCUUGUAAGAAGAGAUUUCAGAAGAUGUGUACCUUCUAGAGAAUUCACAUUUAGUGAGGGGCGUGUGAAAAGGUGUACACAAUUUUAAUCUUUUUAUUUUACUAAUAGUGUAUCUUAAUGAUUGAAAAAUAGAAAUUCCUGUAAAUAUAAAGAAAACCAGAAAGUACUCAUACUUUACACACCUAGUGUUCACGAUCUAAUGGGCCUGCUUCGCCUUCCCCUCUCUCUUCUAUCUGAGCCUGCACGAUGGACGGGACUCACCUGGUACAAGUGACGCGGGGUCGAGCUGGACUGUUGGUUUUCUGCUCUGCCUCUGCUUCCUCUCCGCAUCCUGGACUUUAAAGAAGAUGAAUGAAAUGUCUGCUCUGGUUGCUGGCUGUUUCAUCUCCAACUUAACCUCAGUCUGUGGUUGUGGAGGGCCUCAGAAGUCAGGAAGGUCCCCCGCCGCCAACAUGGGGAGGGUGGGGCCGGACCCAGGUUCCAGCCCAGCCCUGACACGCAGUGCGCUCAGUGGGACAUGUUGGCAUGCAUGCAAGGCUGUAGCGCUGCCAGCCCCUAUAUGCUGCCUUCUUGAGGGCUGGCGGUGCCCUUCAGGACUGGCUGCAUCCUUCGUCCCAUUUGAGUGGGCAGUAGUAGAUAAUAAAAUCUCAGAGUAUCCCUUGACCCCUGACCAUCCAGGCAGGCAUCUGUGGUCCUCCAGCUUAGGCCUGCCUGGGCCCUGUCAAGCCCCUGUGGCCAAUCGCUGUGCUGACUUUGCUGCUGGGCAAUUGAACAGCUACCUGGGCAGCGUAGACGGCCCCUUGGGAUGUUUCAGUUCCCUACAUCCAUGUGAUUGAGAAAAGGGCCUCCUCCCUCAUAGCCUCUCAGCCUUCCGAGAGGACGUAACCCUCCAGACAUUGAGUGUGGCCCUGGCCACAAGCAGCAUACAGCAGACCGUGGCCCUGCAAUCCUCUGGCCUUCGGGUUGUUGCAAACCUUUGACAUUCAUACUCAUUAAAAAUCAAAGGUAUGGGAGCAAGUGGCUUCCCAGCUGGUGUUUUCACUCUGAGGCCACGUGGUCUCCAGGAGCCACGUGCAUCCGGGCCCAGUCCCUGCGGCCUCCGGAAAGCCAGCCAACUGUGGAUUCCACGGUAUAGAAUCAUCCUUGAGACAGUGCUCCGCUGAGUAACAGUUUCCUUACCACCUACCGUUUGGUUUCUGUUCUCUGUAAAGGAGAGAGCAGAGACUGGGAAAUGAGCAAAUGUGUUCUGUGGAGGUGGGUGAUUAAUAUAGUCAGAGGGCAGGUGUGACUCCUGGGCUCCCACCUCCCAGGGACACGAAUGAAGUCUGUGUGCCUUUUGAGGUACACUGGCAAUCAGGGCCAGCCUCUGAUGUGAGGCCCCAAUGCCCAAAGCAAGAGUCUUGAGUUUACCACCAACAGCAAAGUUGCUAUUUUAGCUAGUGGAAGAGCUUCCUGCCAUCAAGGGAGGACAGCAAGAGCCCUGGAUGGGUGACCACAGCCCCUGACCUUAACUGAACCUCUUCUUUUCUGUUAAAAUGGACAUUGAGUGGGUGUCGCCUGCAGUUUCUGGAAGCCCUGGAUGCAGUGAGAGAGAGUGUUCCUGUGCAUGGGGCCACCCAAAGGCAUUUAGCAGCACAAAGGAUUGGAGGGAGACCAGAUCACACUGCAAGAGAGUGAGCCACCAGAACUGCCAGGUCCAAAUCCACUCUUAAACCUGUCUCUUGCAGUUAUUAAUUUAUUUCUAUCGUUUAAAAAUAAUGUUUUAUUUUACUUUAGUAGGUGUGUCCAGUCCAUUGGAAUCAAAAAAGUCAUAGCUGAUACAUCAGAACGAAUAAUCCCUGAGACUCCCUUGGGUGCCCUACUGGAUGGGGCAUGGCUGGGAGAGAUGAAGACACUGAGCAGGGUCCGAACUUAGGGGAACUGCCAGACUGCUGUGUCUCUGUUCCUUCCCUGUCCAAGGAGAGCGAAAUCCCGGAACAAUGGAAGGACAAGCAAAAGGGGGAAGAGGUCUUUUGGUGGCUUAACUGUUGUGUUUGUAUUUUCCUUUGUUAUGUUCCGUUUUGUUAAUGUGUGUUUUUACUGGGAAGUUACCCAUUUCCUCUAGAUUUCUAGUGUGAUGCAAUAGGUUUCUCAUUCUAGUUUUCAUCUGAAUUGUCACUUAUUAACUGACAUCCAUAUUUCAUUUGGGUUUCCUUCAUUCUAAGUUUUUCUCUUCCAGGAUGCCAUCCAGUGUGUCAUGUGACAUUUAGUCAUCAUGUCUGUUUAGGCUCUUCUGGGCUUUCACAGUUUCUCAGACUGUCCUUGUUUCUAUGACUUUGACAUUGGUGAGGAGUACUGGUCAGAUACUUUGUUGACUGUCCCGCAUUGGAAUUUACUUGGUGUUUUUCUCAGGAUUAGGCUUGAGUUAUGCGUUUUGAGUAAGCAGAUCACAGAGGUAAAGUGCUUUCUCAUCACUUUAUAUCAAGGGAACAGGCUCUCAGGGCAACUUAUCACUGUUACUAUUAACUUUGGUCACCUGGCUGAGGUAGUUUGUCAGAUUUCCCCACAAUGAAGUUAAGUUUUUCCCACUUCCGUACUGUGUGUCUUCUUCAGGAGGAAGCUACUUUGGGAAGCAGCACUUAUGGAGACAGGAGUUAUCUCCACCUCCACAAUCCAUGAAUGGCUGAGUGUCCACAUGAAUUAUUGGGACUUCCACAUAGGAGAUUUCUAUUCAACCUUAUUGAUUAAAACAAACAAACAAACAAAACCCUAUGCAGUUACUUAUUUUUACCAGCAUGGACACCUGUGGACAGGUUUUUUUGUUUGUUUUCUUUGUUUUUUUUAACUUUUUGUUAUAAUCCAGCAGUCCAGAUUUUGUUGCUAAGUUCAUUCCUACUUUGGCUAUUGAGAGCUCUUUCCAUUGGCUCCUGUUUUCCUUUGACACCAUUCCACUCUGUGGAUUUUUUUUCUUGAUACUUCCUUCUUUUCUGAUAUAAGAUUCAAGAUUGUCCUGGCUCAUAUAUUUACUGUGUCAGUCCUAGUGUCAGCCAUAAUUUCAAAGAGCUCUGGUUCCUUUUACUAGAGAAUGUUAUGAAAAAGUUACAUAUAGGAGCUGAAAGUGCUCAGGUGAUAAUGCAAGGAAAUAUAUGCAUGUAUUCCCACCUCUGUGUAUUGUUGGGUCUCAGGGAGGGCUGCUCCACAGUGGCAUAUCGAUUACUUUGAAUUACAGCUCCUUAAUAAAUGGCUGGUGCAAGAGGGACACUCUGACUCUCUAGCUCCUUGAAAGCAGGAAAUAAGUCUCUCAUGUGAAAGGUGCAGAAGCCUAUGUGAACAACCCUUGGUACUUCUUUAAUUUACUGCUCCAAGCCCAAACUCUGUUUAGAUUCUUCACUAAUUGAGUAUCCCAAACCUAAGUUUCUUUGGCCUGUAAAUUCCUCAUAACUUUAUUCUAUGAUGAAAUUAAGCCUCACUUUCUGUUACAGUUGGGGAGGGAUCUGUAAAGCACCUUGGUUUUUAAAGCAAAGGUUUGUUACUGGAACAAAGCGUCCCCCCAAAAUAGUCUGAUGCUCAAGAUGUCUGUGUUCCCUUCAUGUGAUAGUUCAGGGCAGGUGGGGGUCGGGGCCCAGGCUCUGUCCUCCUUGUUUCUCUUCCCUGCUUUCAGGUGGAGGGCUCCAACCAGCAGGGGAUGGGGUGACCACAUGGCACCAUGCCCUCCAUCCUAGGACACAGGCUGGCCAAGGUCCUCACCACCUCCAGCACUUCCAUUUGGAGCUGCAAUGGGUGGGAAGGCUGGGAGGUGCAGGCUGGCUGUGAACAGGAGAAAGGGACGUGGGUUCUGGUGGACAGCUGGGCGGCUCUGCUGUGGCAGGGUCACCCGGAAGCUGGCGCACAGCCUCUGGUCCUGUGAAACAUGAUUACACAGCAGCAUGCAGUCUCUGAUGCUUUGUGGUUCUGGAAAUCCUAUAGGAGGUGGUUCAGAGCAGAUUAAGGUAAUGCUCUCAGUGGAGGUGGUGAAGACAAAGGUCUGCCCUUGAGACUGAAGGUGCUAAUGUGGGUGUAUAUACAGGACAAAAGCAUCUCGUGUGAAUGUAGAUCAGGCUCGUUUAAGAUCAGUGCAGUCAUGGGGUUUCCCUGAUGGUGUAGUGGUUGAUAAUCUGCCUGCGGAUGCAGGGCACACGGGUUCGAGACCUGGUCCGGGAAAAUCCCACAUGCCGCAGAGCAGCUAUGCCCGUGUGCCACAACUACUGAGCCCCCACGCCUAGAGCCCAUGUUCCGCAACAAGAGAAGCCACCGCAAUGAGAAGCCCGCGCACCGCAGUGAAGAGAAGCCCCCCUCGCCGCAACUAGAGAAAUCCCGUGUGCAGCAAUGAAGACCUAACGCAGCCAAAAAUAAAUUAAAUAAAGAUUUUAAAAAUCUUUAAAGAAGGAAAAAAAGAUAUCAGUGCAGUCGUGUUAUGCCUAAAAUCUCAUAUCUUGUGCCUUUCCUCGGGCACACCUUCCUCAGUUCCUGAGGCUACUGUAACUCACAUACAGGGGAAUGGAGAGUGGGCUAUCUAGUGUGAGACCUUCUUUACCCUGUGUGUGAGUCUGCUCGGGGCUGCCAUAACAAACACCACAGACCGGGGAGCGUGAACAACAGACCUACCUCCUAGUCCUGGAUGCCGUCUGAGAUCAAGGUGUCUGCAGGCUGGUUUUUCCUUGAGGCUUCUCUUCUUGGUGUGUAGACAGCCAUCUUCUCACAUGAUCUUCUGUGUCCUAAUCUCUUCUGGUAGGACAUCAGUCUUAUUGGAUUAGGAUCCACCCUAGUGACCUCAUUUUACCUUGAUCACCUCUUUAAAAACCCCAUCUCCAAAUACAGCCACAUCCUGG